AGAGUUUGAUCCUGGCUCAGGAUGAACGCUGGCGACAUGGAUAAGGCAUGCAAGUCGAGUGGGUUUAGACCCACGGCGAACGAGGUAGUAACACGUAGGUACGUACCCCCAAGUCGGGCAUAAUCAGCCGAAAGGUUGGACAAUUCCCGAUGGUCUCGAAAGAGUAAAGAUUUAUCGCUUGGGGAGCGGCCUGCGGAAUAUCAGCUAGUUGGUAAGGUAAUGGCUUACCAAGGCUAUGACGUUUAGGGGAGCUGAGAGGCUGACCCCCACCGAUGGUACUGAGACACGGACCAUACACCUACGGGUGGCUGCAGUCGAGAAUCUUCCGCAAUGGGCGCAAGCCUGACGGAGCGAUGUCGCGUGAUGGAUGAAGUUCUUAGGAACGUAAACAUCUUUUAUCGGGGAGAAAUCCGCCAAUUGGCGGAUUGAUAG
rnacentral:rRNA from 1 species